UUCUGAUGGAGCUCCUAAGACAAACAUAAUUGGAAUUCACUGCAGAAAAAUCAUACUUGGAGUCCACAAUCCUAUUUUCAUUAGCAUUCACUACAUUAUCAAUAAUAUAAAAUCCAUAUAGUGGAGGAAAAGUACCCUCAUACCCAUUUUCUUGAUAAAAAAUUGGAUAAGAAAUUCAUUGAAAUAUACUAUAUACACAAAAAGUCUGCCUAAGUAGUUUG
rnacentral:misc_RNA from 1 species